rnacentral:snRNA from 1 species
GUGCUUUCUCAGGCAGCGUAAAUUCUAAAAUUGGAAUGAUACCAAGAUUAGCAUGGCUCCUGUGCAAGGAUGACAUGCAAAGGGAUGGAAAUUAAACUUCA